GUUUUCAAUAUUAAAGAGUUCCUGUCGGUCUCGUCGUUACCGGCCUUCGCAUGCGAGUCAGUCGCUCUCGAGCGCUUCGUCCGGAUAUAACGCGCGCUCGAAUUUUGAAUACGUAUAUACAUUCUGAUAUACAAACCGAGGAAAAUCUGACGUACACUCCCGCGCGCGUUCUCUCACCGCGUCGGAGAUAUACCACGGGAAUUUCGAGGGAAUAGAUCCGUGCGUGAUCCGUUGGUCGCAACGGCGACUCCUCAUCGUCGUCGUCGAGAAACGGCGCGCCAGCGGCUUCACCGACACAUUCAGGUAGCGGAACGUGGCCAGAAUUGGAGACAUUCGGUCACUACCAGCGGCUGUAUCAUGCACAUCAGCAGCAUAUGAACGUGUUGCGCCACGAUCUAUAACUCAACUAAUAUGCAGAUUUCAAUUACAAAAAAGAUCAUGUUAUUUUCUCAAAGAAAUAAAAACAUACUGAAAAGUUCAAAAAUGCGUUCUUACAAUUUAUUUGUAAAAACAUUUCAAAGAAACUCCUGAUUCUUGCUUAUAAACUACC